ACAAACUUUGCUGCUAUUUUGUUAACAUUCAGGAAAAAGAAAACCCUGAGCAACGUCUUCCCAGCUUUCCCAAAGCCUUCCAAGGUCUGGGAACUCACGAUACUUAGGACUGAACGAGACACAGUCUUAUCACUGUUGUGCACAGGGAACCACCGAGAAAACCCAAAGUGAUGAAGACCAUUUUUGUGUAUCAGUGAAGAUAAGGCUGGUGAAUACUUCCAAACAUUUAUUUUUUUAUCAGAUCAUCAGUGUGAUGAAGUCUAGAUGAUUUAUGAUUGACAUCCCUGGGGUCUUGCCUUCACCAGGGAAAAACACAGAGGCUGCUGCACUGACAUAUGCUUUCUCAGAGUACUACCUUCAACCUCGAACUAAGUGGCUUAAUUUUACUCAGGUUGGAAGCUGAAAAAAAAAAGUGCCAACUUUGCUGUCUUUGUUAGAGAAAAAAGUCAAGAUGUUGGCACAGAUCGGUCCCCAAACCUCAACGCAUGAUGACAAGGGAGGUUAGGGGGCUGUGUGUGCCUUGUGCUGUCUACUUCAAACCAUCAUUUUCUGUCCACCUCUGCCUCCUCCCAAGGUGCCAGGCUGAGGGGGCAUCCUCUGCCUCCCUCCUGAAGCCGGGCAGCGAUGCCAUACUGCGCAAUGCUGAGGCGGCAUGAUUGCUUCAUUCCUUCUCAGUGGUGGCUGCAUAUUAACCGUGGAUUAAUGAGCCCUCUAAGUAUUACUUAAUGCUCCUAAAAUGCUUUAUAUUUUCUACUUACAUUGUAAUCAUCAUUAAAGGAUUAAGGUAAAAAAAAAAAAAAGUAAACUUAGAUGGCUACAGUUAAGCUUCAGCAUUCUCAUUUUGUUUCUUACCUAUUUACAGCGGUGAGAUCAGUAGUGUAUCCUUUGGCCUUACUGACACCAAAAAGAUUGGCAACUUCAUAGUACUUAUGGCAACAGCAUCAGUUUUGCAGAUGGGCCCUUUGCACGCACACAGGAGGUUAACCUACUCCAGGAGAUUUAACUAUUUUGGCUUCCACCCCAAACCACUUAACUGAUAUCAAGGAAUAUUAUCCCUCACCUAAUUUACAGAGAGACAAACCAAAGACAUGAACUCCUGCAGAGAAUCCCAGCUAGAUGAUGGCUCCCACAGAUCCAGGAGCAUGAUGGAGUGCUGCAGCACAUGGAUAGGCCUGUCAGGUUUGGAGGCAGAUAGACCACACGGCCUUGGCAGGAUGCUGUGUUGAACAGAUCCUGUCUCCUGUGCAGGGCUUCUUAGCUCAGGCGCAGGACCUGUCUGAUGCAUCUAUUUAUCCCGUAGGCUCAGCCUGGCUCAUAUCCAGCUCUGCUGCAUCUCUGCUCCAUCCAUUCUUGCACCCCAGCUCCAAGACUUAGAGCAGCAGGAGACAGACAGCCUGCCAGGGCUGUUGGUAUGCCCAAAGGCUCUGUUUGUACAUGGAGGGGAAAGGCAGCUUUGGGUAGAGAGGAAAGCACAGCAAGCUCUCUGACACAGUUCCCUGUAACCUGGGCUCAGAGCACUGAGUCCCUCAUCCCUGAGGGCUCUCCAGGGAGCUCAGGCUGACUUUGCCCAUGAACUCAGGAACAGACAGAUGAGUCUUGGGGAAAUCUUGGUGAUGCCCACCAAGAUGUAGGGUUGUUCCCCAUCAGGGAAACAAAUUAUCCACAAAAACAGACCUAAGUUGUAGAACUUCUUGGCUGCAGAGGGCUGGAGUAGAUUCUUGCUCAGCUUUUAACACUCAGCUAUUUGCAAGUACUAGGUGGCACAGGUCUUCCUGGAGCACCUGAGCUGUAAUUAUGGGUCAUCCAGGACUGGAGGAGGCUGCAACCCACUGCGUGACUUGCCUGUAGAGACCCUCAACAUCCUUUUCCACAAAAAAUAACUCAGAAGCUACUUGAUCUGCAAGUUUCUUCUAAAAGCCGAGAAGCAAAAGUUACUAUUACAAAAAAUGCUGAAAGGCUGCUUUUGGCAGAUUUUCCCUAUGAGUGAGUAAUGAAAAGGUUUUCCCUUUCCCAACAUCUGCUUCAUCAGACUGAGUUCUCUUGCUACUGGCUGUUCAUUGGCCUCUGGAAAAUUCAAGUUGCUUUAGUUAAAGCAGGAAAUAAGCAAAAUACCCAGACACAGCCUGGAUUUGUCUGGGAACUGGGAUGUUCUUUUCUAAUCACUGGUUUAUUAUUAAAAAAUCAUUAAAAGCUUAUUAAGAGAUACCUCACCAGUAAGCUCAUGUUUGGCUGCAAGUGUAAAUUAUCUCCAGUUGCCUUGUGAAGCUUCUGGAGGUUAAGCUGCUUUCAGAUCUGUUUUCUGAUAGAGCCUUCAUCUUUUACCAACAGCCUGAAACAAAAUUCAGUCUUUAUAACCAGUUAUUUACAAAUCAGUGGUUAUAUUUGUGCAACCAUUCAUGACCUUAAUAUUUUUGAGUCUCUUUUAAAAAAUAUUUUCUAUGGCAGAUGAAACUCAGUAAAAGUUUCAUUUUCUCUUUAAGCUGUAUCAUUUCCCUUGUGAUUUAUACCCUUGAGAUUCCAGGCAGGAAGUGUUAUUGGACAAAGGAUUCCAGUUUGGCUGUAUGGGGAGAACCAGAAGAAGUGAUGGAAUGUGAGGAGAGAAAAUAAGAUGUGAAUGUAUCUCCAAAGCCAACAAACCUGAAACAAAACAUUUUUGAAGGACCUGUAUCUUGGGCUCCUGUGAGAUGCCUUAUGGUGAAGCUUGCUGUGGUGGCCUAGGACAUUUCUGAUUCCAGGACCAACACAGCCACUGCCAAGGCAGCAAAGGAGAACAUGUGCCUGCAUUUCAGCUGUCUCUCUAGUCUGACAUACAAAUGCAAACUAAUUCAAUAAACACACAAAGGCCUCUGAAGUGGGUUGGGGUGGUGUGAAGACCAAGCUUUGUUUCCCCCUCUGCUGCUGCUACACCAGGGCUAUGAAAGCCUUUAAAGGGCCA